CGUUCCCGGGUCUUGUACACACCGCCCGUCACACCACGGGAGUUGGGGGCGCCCGAAGCCGGAUUGCUGACCUUUUGGAAGCGUCCGUCGAAGGUGAAAUCAAUAACUGGGGUG
rnacentral:rRNA from 1 species